rnacentral:lncRNA from 1 species
GUCAUAUUUUAGGAUGUCGUGAGAUUGGAAACUCCAGGAGGAAGUUACAGCAGGGUAAAACAAUUUUUCAAAAGUGAGUUAGAAGCUUGAAAUAGAUUUCCUGAAGUGAGGUUGGUGAGAACAGAUGAAACAGAAAUCUGGCUUAGCUCAUCUUCUGUUCACUUUGCUUCUGGCAUCAUGUCUUGGUCUGAUUUGCACAAGGGUUGCCUUCUCACAGCUACUUCUGAAGUCACUGAGAACUACUGAGAGUUCAGUGGCUUUGAAAACCAAGGUGGCAGGAAAAGAACUCCAUUGAUAUACAGGGGCAAAUCCUAGCCCUGCUCCAAUGGGAAGACGGCACAGCAGCAUGGCCUGAUUUGGGAACCCUAGUGCUACUCCUUACCUGGAAAUCCUUUACUGUGAUCCCUGCAAACAGUUCACCCAGGCUAGUGAGAAAAUGUAUCUAUGACUCUGUCACACACACAGUCCUCAUUAGGUGAGCAGCACACUGGGAUGAUGGCUUCUUUUAAGAUGGCUGCAGGAAAAGGGGUGUUGAGUGGAUGCUUCUCAGUAAUAGCACUCUGGAAGCAACACUGCUGUCUAAUGGAAAAUCAAAUGUUUUGCACCACAGAAUGAUGCCUCUUGACUUGGGUUGCCUUCCACAGGCCAACAUUUUCACAAAGAGGUUCAAGUUUCUCUCUCAUACUUACCUUUGGAGACUACAUUUGAAAUGUUCAGAGAGUACCACUCUUGUUUUGGAUUUUUUUUAAUGCUACCUAGAAAGUGCCAAUAAUAGCCAAUUUGGCUUGUUAGCAUAGAAUUCUUUCUGCUCUAAAUAAAAGAAAAUAAGAAACAGCA